AGGAGUUUACAGUGUCAUGGAGACUACCAAAUACAGAACUAUGCAAACAUCUAAUUCCAUUGUGAUGAGGGGUAUGAUGAGAAGGUUCAGGGCAGCGCGGCAGGGCCCAUAUGGUUUCAGGGCCAGUGAGGCCAUCCAUGAGUGUGAUGUUUAGGCUGAGAGUAGACACCUGAGUGGCAGGGAAUGGACUGUGUCUGUGUGUGUGCAGAUGUGUAUGUGCUUUUGCUUACCACAGGGCAGGACGCCACAUUCCAGAUACGUUUGAAAGGACGUCCGACUGCUCGUUCACUUAUCUGUCUGGGAACUGCUCCUGGAGCACCACAAUGCCAGGCCCAGGCUGGGGCAUGAAGCAGUGUGGACUGAAAUGGGGAGUGGACGCCAGCGAGUGGUCACUGCCUUCUCUCUGGAGGGAAGGAAGGUAGCAGCUUGGGCAAGAGCGAUGGCCAGGAGAGCAGGGAGGCUGAAUGGAGAAAGAACGGAGAAUGAUCAGAAGGUCCUGGGUGCCCCAGGGCCAGAGGCUGAUUGAAAGUGCUGGAAGAGGCACAGGGCAGGCCCCAGGGGCCUCUAGUCUCCAGCAUGAACAACUGGGAGACCUUGGGGUCCCUUGAAGGAGAGAGGCAGGCACAGAGAAGUGAGUUGUGGGGUCAAGGGGCUGUGAGCUCCUAUUCCCGCUUCUCCUGGGGUGAGUGAUGGUGGGGAAGCAGGGAGUGCAGCAGAAAGAAGGAGGGGCGCCUCAGAGAACCCCAUGUGACUGUUCUGUGGCCCUGAUACGACUGUUCUGUGGCUCUGAUGUGACUGCUCUGUGGCUCUGAUGUGACUCUUCUGUGGCUCUUAUGUGUCUGUUCUGUGGCUCUGAAGUGACUCUUCUGCAGCUCCAAUGCAACUCUUCUGUGGCCCUGAUGUGACUGUUCUGCGGCUCUGAUGCGACUGCUCUGUGGCCCCGAUAUGACUAUUCUGCGGCCCUGAUGCCACUCUUCUGCAGCUCUAUGAGACUGUUCUGCAGCUCUAUGAGACUCUUCUGCAGCUCUAUGAGACUGUUCUCCAGCUCUAUGAGACUGUUCUGUGGCUCUGAUGUGACUCUUCUGCAGCUCUGAUGUAACUGUUCCGUGGCCCUGAUCGACUGUUCUGUGGCACCCACAUUCUUCAGAGCCACACUCAGAUGGAAGCUUUGCUGUGUGCAGGGGAUGAAACCAACUGUCAUUCAUCCUGCUGGAGGCCAGGAUGUCUGCCACACCCCCCGGGGCUGCCCCCUGCCUGUCUUUCCUGAAGACGUUCUCUCUCUGGCCCUGUUCCCAGGGCAGGCUGAAGGACAAAGGACAGGAAGAUGAGGUUUCAUCAUGUUCCCCAGGCUGGUCUCAUACUCCUGAGUUCAAGCAAUCCACCUGCCUUGGCCACCCAAAGUGCUGGGAUUACAGGUGUGAGCUACUGCGUCUAGCCCUCUUCCAUCGUUUUCAAGGAGGGAUCAGGGGUCAGCUGUUCGCAACUUGGUACGAAUGAGUUUGUCAUUGGAUCACCUCCCUUGGGAGGAAGUCUUGCCCUGGGGAUGUAGGAACAAGAACUAACAUGCUCAGUGCCUCCUAACAGCCCCACUUUACCUAGUGUGUCAAUUCCCCACAGACAAGUAAACUGAGGCCCAGGAAGCAUCGUUGCCUGAGGUUGCCGAGUUGAUAAGCAAAGGUCUCAGUCCCUGUGGACUCAGAGCCUGGGCUUCUCCCCUGGGACCCUGCAGCUCCACCGGCAGUUAUUCCAAUUCUUCCUCAGGUGUUGGAGGCUUGUAUGGAAACUCCUUGCUUCUGUCUCUCGCUCAGCCCUUAGAAAACCUCCAAGAGAUGGCCACUCCUGCCUGUGGUGCAGAGAACGCCCAGGCAGAAGACCCUUGGAGGCUCAGACAGAGAACUCACUGCACUUUCAGUCAUCCUGGGCUGGCUCCCCGGCCCCUCUCACGUUCUUUAUGGAUUUGACCCAAAGUCUUCCAGAUGGAUGGAGCUGUGGGCACUGAGUCUGGGAAUGUCUCAGCCCACCUUGGCUCCCUUCUCCAGCAGGAGUGGAGGUGUGUGAUGUCAAACAGGCCCAGCCUCUCUCUCAGACCCGGUUCUGGGCCCACACAGCCCCUUCUUCCUGAAAGCAGAGGUGGCAGUAAGAGGAUGGCUUUGGCCUUUGAAUGUUCUCAAGCGAUCCAAGUUCAGAGUAUACUGUUGCUGUCCUCUGUCCCUGAAGCUUCUCUCCUACUCCUUGGACAAACUCACUUCUCCCCUCAGGGACUUCUCUCAUGUAGCAGAGUGUACACCUGCUGCCCCAGCAAGGCCUUCACAAUGAUCCAAGCCUGGCCUGUUGCUCCAGCUUCUGGAACCUCCCAUGGCCUUCGGUCUACUUGAAUGCUCCUGAGGCCAGGUAGCUCAUCACUGCCGGAGGACCUGUUGCCACUCACUUCUAGCCACAAGAAAUGUCUGCCUGUCCUGAGCAAAACCCACCUUGGAGGAACUUCUUUACUCCCUUGUUGAAUUUUUGGCUCUACCAAAUAAACAUGAAUUGCUUCCCUGUGAAAGACCUCCAAA
rnacentral:lncRNA from 1 species